GACGAACGCUGGCGGCGUGCUUAACACAUGCAAGUCGAACGGAAAGGCCCUGCUUUUGUGGGGUGCUCGAGUGGCGAACGGGUGAGUAACACGUGAGUAACCUGCCCUUGACUUUGGGAUAACUUCAGGAAACUGGGGCUAAUACCGGAUAGGAGCUCCUGCUGCAUGGUGGGGGUUGGAAAGUUUCGGCGGUUGGGGAUGGACUCGCGGCUUAUCAGCUUGUUGGUGGGGUAGUGGCUUACCAAGGCUUUGACGGGUAGCCGGCCUGAGAGGGUGACCGGCCACAUUGGGACUGAGAUACGGCCCAGACUCCUACAGGAGGCAGCAGUGGGGAAUAUUGCACAAUGGGCGGGAGCCUGAUGCAUCAACGCCGCGUGCGGAAUGACGGCCUUCGGGUUGUAAACCGCUUUCGCCUGUGACGAAGCGUGAGUGACGGUAAUGGGUAAAGAAGCACCGGCUAACUACGUG
rnacentral:rRNA from 1 species